rnacentral:snRNA from 1 species
GGAUGUGAGGGCGAUCUGGCCACGACAUCUGUCACCCCAUUGGUCGCCAGGGUCAAUUCAGCCAAUAUCGCUGACGAGGUGGGUGUCGCCUUCCUCCUUCAACGCUCCUCGUGCAUCCCACUCUGUCAAAGAGGACAACCACCCCCACUAGAGGAGGACUCUUCCUCAGUCAAGGGUAUAUGAGUAGUUACACUCUCCCACUAGAACCUCUAAACAAGCUCUCAAGAGUGCAGAACCCAGGUUGGAAAUCCUGGAGAUUGGAAGGAAGGAGGAGUGUUAUAUAAAGUGAACUUCCAGCACCU